CGGGCGGGGGCACGGGGGGCCCUACGGGGUGCAGCAGGCGCGAAACCUCUGCAAUAAGCGAAAGCUUGACAGGGUUAUUCUGAGUGAUUUCCGUUAAGGAGUCUUUUGGCACCUCUAAAAAUGGUGCAGAAUAAGGGGUGGGCAAGCCUGGUGUCAGCCGCCGCGGUAAUACCAGCACCCCGAGUGGUCGGGACGUUUAUUGGGCCUAAAGCAUCCGUAGCCGGUUCUACAAGUCUUCCGUUAAAUCCACCUGCUUAACAGAUGGGCUGCGGAAGAUACUAUAGAGCUAGGAGGCGGGAGAGGCAAGCGGUACUUGAUGGGUAGGGGUAAAAUCCGUUGAUCCAUUGAAGACCACCAGUGGCGAAGGCGGCUUGCCAGAACGCGCUCGACGGUGAGGGAUGAAAGCUGGGGGAGCAAACCGGAUUAGAUACCCGGGUAGUCCCAGCUGUAAACGAUGCAGACUCGGUGAUGAGUUGGCUUAGUGCCUACUCAGUGCCGCAGGGAAGCCGUUAAGU
rnacentral:rRNA from 1 species